UAAGUCUUUGUAAAUGAAAGUCUCUUUACUUUACUACGCAAACUCGAGUUAAAGAAAUAUCCGUUGUUUUAAAGCUCAAAUGUUAAAGUAAAUUUAAUAAAACUUUUAAUGCCAACCAUCUUAUAAGAAAUCCGCUUAUUAAUAUACGUCAAUGAUGUUUCGUCAGUUUUAAAAUUUUGAAUGUUUCUUGGCCGAAAAAGAGCCUUACUUAUAUACUCAAGGGUUGCCGAAGGCCGAGGCCGGUGGCCGAUGGCCGAAACAAGUGGCCGACGGCCGUGGCCGUGGCCGAUAAUACAGAGAAAAAGCGCUAAAUGUGCCGAAAAUAUGACGUCACGGCCCAUUAUGACAUCAUUAAACAAACGACUAGUUGAAUAUUCCUGCUAAGAAUGGAAUUUUACGUAUAAGAAGUGUACAAAUACUUACAAAACUAUGGAUUUUAUACAUUACCAUAUCUGAUGUACUGCUGCCACGAACAGUACGGGAGGCACAAGUAUUCGUCAUCAUUUUACUACUUACAGGAGUUUAUACUAUAUAUUUCUUGACGUAUGAGCCAAACAUGUCGACGAUUCCAAGCCCUCGAUUUGUGACACGCACACCUACUACAACGCCUCUGACACCGAAAAUAAUAUUUCCGGAGAUAAAACGGUUUUCUCCAAUCGUGUUUACUGAUCCUUGCAAUGGGACUAUAGAAGAUUCCCGUCGAAAUACAAUAUUUCACGGCUACGAAAAGGUUCAGGCAUACAUGGCUGAGUUUUUCAUUAAUCAAGCGGAUGAUAAUGUUCUUGCAAGGGACGCCGACCCUGUGUUCGUGUCUGGUGCAUCAUCGAAUCAUGCACAAGAAUCGAUAAGGAUGUUUAAAAGCUUCAACAAAAUUGUGAGGGUUACAAGACCAAAAGCGAAAUUUAUAUUUUAUGAUCUGGGAUUAAAUGCAGACGAACAAGAGCAGGUAAGGCAACACACACAUCACACUGAUAUUCGGGAAAAAACACAUAAAAUACUCCAUACCGCUAUAUUGGAUAUUUUCUUUGAUUAGCCGUUAGCAAAAUUUAUGUUUUGAUUAACGUCUUAGUUUUUUUCCUGACUCGUUGUUUUGAGAACUUCCACUAACUUUGAUAACAAUUUUGACCGGAGCAUAACCGUUCAUUCAUUUUCGUGUCAAUAUUUUAUUUUCGCAGUCCUUCAUCAAUACGUGAAUAUGAAAGAUGGUUUUUAAAUAUUUAUUGACAAACUGUUACUGGUAAAUAACUCUUUUUGCAUCAAUGAUAACAAAUGUAAUAAACAAAGUUGAAGAAAUACGCCGAUUUGUUUACUUUUAAUCGUAACCGAACCAAAAUACAACACUGAAUGGCUUCCCAGCCAUGUACA